GACGAACGCUGGCGGCGUGCUUAACACAUGCAAGUCGAACGGAAAGGCCCUGCUUUUGUGGGUUUCUCGAGUGGCGAACGGGUGAGUAACACGUGAGUAACCUGCCCUUAACUUUGGGAUAACUUCAGGAAACUGGGGCUAAUACCGGAUAGGAGCUCCUGCUGCAUGGUGUGGGUUGGAAAGUUUCGGCGGUUGGGGAUGGUCUCGCGGCUUAUCAGCUUGUUGGGGGGGUAGUGGCUUACCAAGGCUUUGACGGGUAGCCGGCCUGAGAGGGUGACCGGCCACAUUGGGACUGAGAUACGGACCAGAAUCCUACGGGAGGCAGCAGUGGGGAAUCUUGCACAAUGGGCGGAAGCGUGAUGCAGAAACGCCGCGUGCGGGAUGACGGGCUUCGGGGUGUAAACCGCUUUCGACUGUGACGAAGCGUGAGUGACGGUAAUGGGUAAAGAAGCACCGGCUAACUACGUG
rnacentral:rRNA from 1 species